rnacentral:rRNA from 1 species
GAAACGGGUGGUAAUGCCGGAUGCUCCGACUCCUCGCAUGGGGUGUCGGGAAAGAUUUCAUCGGUAUGGGAUGGGGUCGCGUCCUAUCAGGUAGUCGGCGGGGUAACGGCCCACCGAGCCUACGACGGGUAGCCGGCCUGAGAGGGCGACCGGCCACAUUGGGACUGAGAUACGGCCCAGACUCCUACGGGAGGCAGCAGUGGGGAAUAUUGCACAAUGGGCGCAAGCCUGAUGCAGCGACGCCGCGUGCGGGAUGACGGCCUUCGGGUUGUAAACCGCUUUUGAUCGGGAGCAAGCCUUCGGGUGAGUGUACCUUUCGAAUAAGCACCGGCUAACUACGUGCCAGCAGCCGCGGUAAUACGUAGGGUGCAAGCGUUAUCCGGAAUUAUUGGGCGUAAAGGGCUCGUAGGCGGUUCGUCGCGUCCGGUGUGAAAGUCCAUCGCUUAACGGUGGAUCUGCGCCGGGUACGGGCGGGCUGGAGUGCGGUAGGGGAGACUGGAAUUCCCGGUGUAACGGUGGAAUGUGUAAAUAUCGGG